rnacentral:rRNA from 1 species
CAAUAGCGUAUAUUAAAGUUGUUGCGGUUAAAAAGCUCGUAGUUGGAUUUCUGCUGAGGACGACCGGUCCGCCCUCCGGGUGAGCAUCUGGUUCGGCCUUGGCAUCUUCUUGGUGAACGUAUCUGCACUUGACUGUGUGGUGCGGUACCCAGGACUUUUACUUUGAGGAAAUUAGAGUGUUCAAAGCAGGCUUAUGCCGUUGAAUAUAUUAGCAUGGAAUAAUAAGAUAGGACUUUGGUACUAUUUUGUUGGUUUGAGAACCAAGGUAAUGAUCAAUAGGGACAGUUGGGGGUAUUCGUAUUCAGUUGUCAGAGGUGAAAUUCUUAGAUUUCCGGAAGACGAACUACUGCGAAAGCAUUUACCAAGGAUGUUUUCAUUAAUCAAGAACGAAAGUAUGGGGAUCGAAGACGAUCAGAUACCAU